GUGCCUAAUACAUGCAGUCGAACGAAGAAAUACCUUCGGGUAAAGUAAGAGUGGCGAACGGGUGAGUAACGCGUGGAUAAUCUGCCCUUCAGUGAGGGAUAACUUAUCGAAAGGUGAGCUAAUACCUUAUAAGACCACAAUGCGUAAAGCAUAGGGGUCAAAGAUUUAUCGCUGAUGGAUGAGUCUGCGUCCGAUUAGCUUGAUGGUGGGGUAAAGGCCUACCAUGGCUGUGAUCGGUAGCUGGUCUGAGAGGAUGAGCAGCCACACUGGAACUGAGACACGGUCCAGACUUCUACGGAAGGCAGCAGUAGGGAAUAUUGGUCAAUGGGGGAAACCCUGAACCAGCGACGUCGCGUGUGUGAUGAAGGCCUUAGGGUCGUAAAACACUGUGGUGCGAGACGAUUAUGACGGUAUCGCACUAGAAAGGACCGGCCAACUUCGUGCCAGCAGCCGCGGUAAGACGAGGGGUCCUAGCGUUGUUCGGAAUUACUGGGCAUAAAGCGGAUGUAGGUGGGUGUUCAAGUCAGAUGUGAAAUCCCAGAGCUAAACUCUGGAACUGCAUUUGAUACUGUUCAUCUUGAGUAUUUGAGGGGGUAGCAGAAUUCCUGAUGUAGUGGUGAAAUACGUAGAUAUCAGGAGGAAUACCUGUGGCGAAGGCGGCUACCUGGCGAAUUACUGACACUGAGAUCCGAAAGCGUGGGGAGCAAACAGGAUUUAGAUACCCUGGUAGUCCACGCCGUAUACUAUGAAACACUUGGUGUUGGGGAUAUUUGACCUCCUCAGUGCCGUAGUAAUGCGUUAAGUGUUCCGCCUGGGGAGUACGGUCGCAAGAUUAAAACUCAAAGAAAUUGACGGGGGCCCGCACAAGCGGUGGAGCAUGUGGUUUAAUUCGAUGCAACGCGAAGAACCUUACCUAGACUUAACAUCCCAGUGACAGCUGUAGAGAUACGGUUUUCCUUCGGGACAUUGGUGAUAGGUGCUGCAUGGCUGUCGUCAGCUCGUGUCGUGAGAUGUUGGGUUAAGUCCCGCAACGAGCGCAACCCUUGCCUUUAGUUGCCAGCAUUUAGUUGGGCACUCAAAAAGGACUGCCGACGUUAAGUCGGAGGAAGGUGGGGAUGACGUCAAGUCCUCAUGGCCUUUAUGUCUAGGGCUACACACGUGCUACAAUGGUCGAUACAAAGGGCUUGCAAAACCGCAAGGUCAAGCUAAUCCCAAAAAAUCGAUCUAAGUUCGGAUUGGAGUCUGCAACUCGACUCCAUGAAGUCGGAAUCGCUAGUAAUCGCAUAACAGCAUGAUGCGGUGAAUACGUUCCCGGGCCUUGUACACACCGCCCGUCACACCAUGAAAGCUGGUGGGACCAGACGUCGUUUUCGCUAACCUUUUAGGAGGCGGACGCCC
rnacentral:rRNA from 1 species